CGGCGCUGCCCCGGUGUCGGGAGGGGCCGCCUCGCCGCUCGGCGCGGUGCCCGGGGCAGGGAGUUGAUGAUUAACGUGCGGGCCACUGAGUACCUGCCUAAAGUCGCGCCCAGGGUGGGGUUUAACCUUGUCAGAGGCUCGGUGCCUCUCGUGUGACUCUGCCCGAGGCCCUCGGGCGGCCAGUUCCGCUGCUGCCGCCGAAGCGCUGCGGGGAUGCGCAGCUCCCUGUUGAAAAUCUCUGCUCUAAAUCUCAGCCUAGAGCUCGCCUCGCAGUCGUUUUUGGAAGUUUCAGGCUCAAGAGGUCGAGGUGAUGUGGGGGUCUCGGCGAGCGUCUGCGCAGCAGCAGCCUCGGGCUGCGGGAGCUCGAGUGUUUGUGGCUGGCACUUGAAUCCAUGCUGGCCCCUUUUCCUCGGGCCGAGCUGCGAGGAGCUCGGCAGCUGCGGCAUUUAGUUCAAUUACUUCAGAUGAUCUGUAAAUUUUCAAUAAUGGCAAUACAUUCAUUCUGCCAUUUGGAGGAGCCUGUGCCACAGAAUAAUGAUCUGAAGAAAGCUCACUCAUUUGCAAGGAAGAGUCUUCAUUUGGGAAUUAGCACUGAUGCAGCUCAAGGGUGCUUUUUCGAGUCCAGGUCCUUGACAUUCAGUGGGAUGAGAAUCUCAGAACUGACUACUGGGGACUCCCAGGCUACAGAUCAGGUCCUAGUCCUGUAACUGGAUUUGUUCAAAUGGACCUCAAUAGCCUGGAGGCCUGAUGAAGUCCAUGGGACACUGGUGACUGCAGGUUCUCACUCUGAAGAUCUGAUUGUAGGCCUGAACCUAAAUUUCUAUUUUGUUUCCCUGUCUGUUUGCUUCUUAAAUGGUGAAAAUUAUCCUUUAAAAUGGUGUUGUCUUUGAGUCUCAUGCACAACCACUUUAGUAGUGUUCAGACACUGUGUGCUUGGGAUGUUGUCAGACAUUGUUAAAAUAGUUCUCUUCUGUUGUGUGCCUAUACCUCAUGAUUGCUCUGAUUAUUGUGUUAAUUUUUUUAUUUAGUGCCUUUCUACCUAAAAUGGAGAAGAUCAUCACAUGUGUUUGCAAUCGUUGUGAUAUUUCUCUUAACUCAGAUUUUUAAGUCAGAGUAACUGUUCAAACUGUUCAGGUUAUUUUUAAAGAUGUAGGUAGAUUUGUUUAUUUCUUGCUGAAUACAAAGUAUAAUAUUUUAUUUUGCAAAUUGGGUAGCCUAGUAUUACUAAAGAUUUCAAUACGCUGACAGUCUGAUUUAAUUAAAAUAACUAGGAAAUUACCCUUUUACUAGCUCUCCUGUUGCUUUUCCAUUCCUGUGGUUGUGGUUACACAACAUACAACCGAGAGUGAAGAUAUUUUUAUUCUUUGAGCCAGUGUAUACCUUUUGUUGACAAUAAGUGCUGUUCCCUCUGCUAUUCCAUAUUGCAGUUUCACUGCAGAGUAAAGUUAUAGCCUUGGUCGAAGCUGUAAAAAGGGCUUUGAAAAAUCACAUGUAGAGUGUGAUCACAAAUAGAGUGUAAGAUGUGUUCUAUCUCUAUGCAUGUUAGUAUUUAUGUUAUUUUAUAUUAUAUAUUUUUAAAGCAAGUAUUUAGCAGUGUACGAUAAUUAGGAGAUUAAAAGAUGCAAAACGUUCUUUCUAUACAGAGAAUCAGAAAAACUUUUUAGGUUUUUGUAGGUUUAUUACAAUGAUAUUAAAGAGCCUCACAGUAUUUGAUGAAUUUUUGCAUAUUCCCUGAACAGAAAAGCACCAUUGUCCUUUUAGACCAUUAGAAAACUGAGCUGCUUUUUUAGUCAGUAGUAAAGUCAAUGAUAUUAAAUGGAUUUUCCUGCCUUUUAACCUUGUGCCUCUGGCUCCAUUUUUCCCUCAAGACCCAAACCUUCCAUUGCCAUCAUCUGCUUUGCAUUUCUGAGUGAAAGGCCCAAGGUGUUUCUGUUUGGACAGCCAGAAAAUGAGGAAGACAAGGUUGGUUGGGUGCGAGGGUCUGCCAGAGUGCAAGGUCUGACUCGCUCCUCGCUCACGGGCGCUGCUGGUGAAGGCAGAGGCAGAACUGAGUGUUCUGUGUGGCAUUCAACUGCCUUAACCACAUGCUCAUCGCUCUCUUCCUGUAGCUGUCUGUCUUGCUCUCAGCAGAACUCCUGAAGACAACACGUACACCAACCAAUAAAUAAUCUAAUUUGAUGCA
rnacentral:lncRNA from 1 species